CACGUAGGGGGCAAGCGUUGUCCGGAUUUAUUGGGCGUAAAGAGCUCGUAGGCGGCUCAGUAAGUCAGGUGUGAAACCUCCAGGCUCAACCUGGAGACGCCACCUGAUACUGCUGUGGCUAGAGUCCGGUAGGGGAGCGUGGAAUUCCUGGUGUAGCGGUGAAAUGCGCAGAGUAUCAGGAGGAACACCGGUGGCGAAGGCGCUGCCUCGUGGGCCGGUACUGACGCUGAGGAGCGAAAGCGUGGGUAGCAAACAGG
rnacentral:rRNA from 1 species